rnacentral:rRNA from 10 species
AGACCCGAAACCCGGUGAUCUAGCCAUGGGCAGGUUGAAGGUUGGGUAACACUAACUGGAGGACCGAACCGACUAAUGUUGAAAAAUUAGCGGAUGACCUGUGGCUGGGGGUGAAAGGCCAAUCAAACCGGGAGAUAGCUGGUUCUCCCCGAAAGCUAUUUAGGUAGCGCCUCGUGAAUUCAUCUCCGGGGGUAGAGCACUGUUUCGGCUAGGGGGCCAUCCCGGCUUACCAACCCGAUGCAAACUGCGAAUACCGGAGAAUGUUAUCACGGGAGACACACGGCGGGUGCUAACGUCCGUCGUGAAGAGGGAAACAACCCAGACCGCCAGCUAAGGUCCCAAAGUCAUGGUUAAGUGGGAAACGAUGUGGGAAGGCCCAGACAGCCAGGAUGUUGGCUUAGAAGCAGCCAUCAUUUAAAGAAAGCGUAAUAGCUCACUGGUCGAGUCGGCCUGCGCGGAAGAUGUAACGGGGCUAAACCAUGCACCGAAGCUGCGGCAGCGACGCUGAUGCGUUGUUGGGUAGGGGAGCGUUCUGUAAGCCUGCGAAGGUGGCCUGUGAGGGUUGCUGGAGGUAUCAGAAGUGCGAAUGCUGACAUAAGUAACGAUAAAGCGGGUGAAAAGCCCGCUCGCCGGAAGACCAAGGGUUCCUGUCCAACGUUAAUCGGGGCAGGGUGAGUCGACCCCUAAGGCGAGGCCGAAAGGCGUAGUCGAUGGGAAACGGGUUAAUAUUCCCGUACUUGGUGUUACUGCGAAGGGGGGACGGAGAAGGCUAUGUUGGCCGGGCGACGGUU